rnacentral:misc_RNA from 1 species
ACUGGACAGACUGGAACAAAUGGAUAAACAAUCGUGGUGGUAUCGGUGUAUCCCCAGAAAAAAGCUGGGAAUCUUGGUGGGAGAAAGAACAUGAGCAUCUUUAUCAUUCAGGGCUCCGUGGCACUGUAGUGGAGAUAUUAUUAUCAUUGCGCUUUUUUAUAUAUCAAUACGGACUUGUAUAUCACCUCACAAUUUUGAACAACGAAACAAGUUUCCUGGUUUACGGUGUGUCUUGGAUCGUCAUUUUCGUGAUAUUAGCAGUAAUGAAGGUUGUGUCCGUCGGAAGGAAGAAAUUCAGUGCUGAUUUUCAGCUUGUGUUUCGUUUGAUCGAAGGCUUCAUUUUCCUCUCCUUUGUUUCCCUACUCAUCAGUUUGAUUGUUAUUCUACACCUGAAAUUUCGUGAUAUUAUUGUUUGCAUUCUCGCGUUCAUGCCUACCGGUUGGGGAAUGCUUAUGAUUGCUCAAGCUUUGAAGCCUUGGAUUCGACGUGGUGGCUUUUGGGGGUCUGUCAGGACACUUGCCCGUGGUUAUGAAAUUAUAAUGGGUUUGCUCUUGUUCACGCCCAUUGCAUUCUUGGCUUGGUUUCCAUUUGUUUCAGAGUUCCAAACCCGAAUGUUGUUCAACCAAGCUUUCAGUAGAGGUCUGCAGAUUUCUCGUAUUCUUGGUGGACCAAAGAAGGAUCGUUCCUCCAGUAACAAAGAGUAGUUUUCAAUGCUACUACUCAUUGGACAGAAGAAUAGAUUCAUGUAAAUAUUAUGUAUCUUAGUUCAUGUACACAAUUUCAGGUAGCUUGUGUAUAUAAUAUAGUUUCUGCAAUUUGUCCAGAUGAUUUGUACAGGAUACAUAUUUUAGUUCAAAAGGAGAGGGUUU